rnacentral:rRNA from 1 species
UACGUAGGUGACCAGCGUUGUCCGGAUUUACUGGGCGUAAAGAGCGCGCAGGCGGUCGUUCAAGUCGAGUGUGAAAGCCCCCGGCUCAACUGGGGAGGGUCAUUCGAUACUGAUCGACUGGAAGGCAGGAGAGGGAAGCGGAAUUCCCGGUGUAGUGGUGAAAUGCGUAGAUAUCGGGAGGAACACCAGUGGCGAAGGCGGGUCUCUGGGCCGAUACUGACGCUGAGGAGCGAAAGCGUGGGGAGCGAACAGG